GAUAAGAAUGCCUUGGGAGAAGGGAAGGCUGUGGGUGUAUUAGGAGCCCAAGGAUCUUCCCUCAUUGUCGUUGUUGUUUUUGUUGUUUUUGUUGUUGGUAUUGAUGUUGCUGCUGCUGAUUUGUUGCACUUCUCAGUAGGGUUUUUGGGUUCCCCAAUACUUCCCUUUAUUCUCUGUUGUUGUGGUUUUUCCUAUUUGUUUUUUCUGUUUGUUGUGCUUCUUUUUAUGUUCACCCUUUUGCAACUUCCAGUACUCUCUGGAGAUGCAACCCAUGGAGGCUAUCUGAGUGCAGCCGGAGCCUGGGAAUAGAGCAUUGGGAGACAAAAGGCUGUGUCUGUCUAGUGAGAAUGUGCUGGAGGUGGUGGUGGUAGUGAUGGUGGUUGUGGGAGAAGGCACCCGGGUGGACCCAGAUGGGGUGAUAAGCUUGACCUAAUGAUCGAUGGACGGACAGACGGACAGCCGGGAUGCUUUUUUGCCUCGCUUCGCAUCUUUUUUAUCAGUUCUCCGAUUACUGUCAUGGUUAUUUUUACUUAGGUUCUUUUAUUGUUUUUUUUUGUGUACGAAUUUAGGGCAUUGUACGAAGGGAAAAUAAUAGAAACGAACCCACAUUGCAGUCUGUGUGUGUGUGUGUGUAAGUCCUGUUCCAUGCCACACCUUGCAACCAGGUACUGGAAUUUCCCAGCUUGAAAUAUAGUCUCUCACAAAUUCAUUAGACUUCAGGAUUUCAAAACAAGGAGGAAACAAAGUAUCGAUGGGCAUUUAUACCAAGGCUUCACCAAGGAUUUCACACAACCGGAAUAAUGUUGUUAGUCAAGCACAUGGGCAUUCACCAAGAUGCCUAUCCAACAAGUACUUUCAAACUGAGCGCUACUUCUUGUACAUGAAAGGAAUACCACCGCCCUUAAGGGUCAUCUUGGGUAACCUGUGACAGAGAGCAGUGAUUGCAUGGUGUUGAGAAAGUCGGGUUCGUCACAAAAAGCAGUGCGUAUGUUUUCAUGAGAUAAACUGCCCUUGCAUCUAGAAUAUCAGCGUCGUUCUGGUGUCCAAUUCCCAGCACUAGCAAUGGCUGUUACAAAGAAUCAAUGAUCCCUAGCAAACAAGAAUCACAAUCCCCCGAAAUGAUGAUGGAAGACAAAAAAGAUUCGUGUCUGGUUGUUGCUCUAUAUAGCAUGCGAGCGAAUAAGUGUAAAGACAUUGAAUCAUUUCGUAGAUGCAUGCUUGUGCUUGAAUGCCCUGCAGGCCCAAGUCUCUAUAGUGUAUACCAGCCGGGGAUUAGAAUGUUGCUACCAGAUACUGGUGUUGUAAAAACGCUUCCAUUUCGAAUAGAGUAUUCGGAAAACCUAAACCAUGUAUCAAACUGAA